rnacentral:tRNA from 1 species
UAUAGAGUGCCUGAUUAAAGGAUGAUCUUGAUAGGGUCAAUCAUGCGCCCCCCGCCUCUAUAA